CCUACGUGUGGCAGCAGUGGGGAAUAUUGGACAAUGGGCGAAAGCCUGAUCCAGCCAUGCCGCGUGUGUGAAGAAGGCCUUCGGGUUGUAAAGCACUUUCAGUGGGGAAGAAAGCCUUGGGGCUAAUACCCUCGAGGAAGGACAUCACCCACAGAAGAAGCACCGGCUAACUCCGUGCCAGCAGCCGCGGUAAUACGGAGGGUGCGAGCGUUAAUCGGAAUUACUGGGCGUAAAGCGCGCGUAGGCGGUCUGAUAAGCCGGUUGUGAAAGCCCCGGGCUCAACCUGGGAACGGCAUCCGGAACUGUCAGGCUAGAGUGCAGGAGAGGAAGGUAGAAUUCCCGGUGUAGCGGUGAAAUGCGUAGAGAUCGGGAGGAAUACCAGUGGCGAAGGCGGCCUUCUGGACUGACACUGACGCUGAGGUGCGAAAGCGUGGGUAGCAAACAGGAUUAGAUACCCGAGUAGUC
rnacentral:rRNA from 1 species